AGGAUGGGACUGCGACCGAUCAGGCUGUUGGCGGGGUAAUGGCCCACCAAACCAGUAACCGGUACGGGCUUUGAGAGAAGGAGCCCGGAGAUGGACACUGAGACAAGGGUCCAGGUCCUACGGGGCGCAGCAGGCGCGAAACCUUCGCAAUGUGCGAAAGCAUGACGAGGUUAAUCCGAGUGGCAUCCGCCGAGGAAGUCUUUUGCCGGCUCUAAAACGGCCGGUGAAUAAGGGGAGGGCAAGCCUGGUGUCAGCCGCCGCGGUAAUACCAGCUCCUCGAGUGGUCGGGGCGAUUAUUGGGCCUAAAGCAUCCGUAGCCGGUUCCGUAGGUCCUCUGUUAAGUCCAGCCGCUUAACGGUUGGCCUGCAGAGGAUACCGCGGGACUAGGAGGCGGGAGAGGCGGGCGGUACUCUACGUGUAGGGGUAAAAUCCUUUGAUCCGUAGAAGACCACCAGUGGCGAAGGCGGCCCGCCAAAACGCGUUCGACGGUGAGGGAUGAAAGCUGGGGGAGCGAACCGGAUUAGAUACCCGGGUAGUCCCAGCCGUAAACGAUGCGAGCUAGAUGAUCCAGUCGCAAAUCGCGAUUGGAGUGUCGCAGGGAAGCCGUUAAGCUCGCCGCCUGGGGAGUACGGUCGCAAGACUGAAACU
rnacentral:rRNA from 1 species